rnacentral:rRNA from 1 species
UCGAAUGAGAAAGCCCGCAAGGGUGAGUAAAGUGGCGUACGGGUGAGUAACACGUGGGUAAUCUACCUCUUGGUGGGGAAUAACCCUGGGAAACCGGGGCUAAUACCGCAUAAGCCCGAAAGGGGAAAGGUGCAAAUCGCCGAGAGAGGAGCCCGCGGCUGAUUAGCUAGUUGGUGGGGUAAGAGCCCACCAAGGCGAAGAUCGAUAGCCGGCCUGAGAGGGCACACGACCACACUGGCACUGAAACACGGGCCAGACUCCUACGGGAGGCAGCAGUGGGGAAUCUUGCACAAUGGGGGAAACCCUGAUGCAGCGACGCCGCGUGAGCGAUGAAGCCCUUCGGGGUGUAAAGCUCUUUCGACCGGAACGAUAAUGACGGUACCGGGAGAAGAAGCUGCGGCUAACUACGUGCCAGCAGCCGCGGUAAUACGUAGGCAGCGAGCGUUG